CAAAGCCUGGGUGACAGCAUGUCUGUCUACAGCAUGGUUUACUGAGUAUUUUAAGCCCACUGUUGAGAACUACUGUACAGAAAAAAGAUUCCUUUCAAAAUAUUAUUGACAAUGUACCUAGUCAGCGACAAUGUACCUCUAGCAGAACUGUGAUAGAGAUGUACAAAGUGAUGAAUGUUGUUUUCGUGCCUGCUAAUACAACACUCAUCCUGUAGCUCAUGAAUCAAGAAGUAAUUUUGACUUUCAAGUCUUAUUGUUUAAGAAAUAAAUUUUGCAAGACUAUAGCUGCCAUAGGUAGUGAUUCCUCUGAUGGAUCUGGGUAAAGUAAAUUGAAAACCUUCGAGAAGGGAUUUACCAUUCUGGAUACCAUUAAGAAUAUUCAUUGUUCAUGAGAGGAAGUCAAAAAUACCAACAUGAACAGGAGUUUGGAAGAUGUUGAUUCCAACCUUCAUGGAUGACUGUGGGGUUCACUCCUUCAGUGGAGGAAGUAAUUGCAGAUGCUGUGGAAAGAGCAAGUGAACUAGAAUUGGAAGUGGAGCCUGAAGGUGUGACUGAAUUGCUGUAAUGUCAUGAUCAAAUUUGAAUGGAUGAGGAGUUGCUUCUUAUGGAUAAGCAAAGAAAGCAAUUUCUUGAGAUGGAAUAUACUUCUUGUGAAGAUGCCAUAAACAUUGUUGAAAUGACAACAAAACUAAAAUAUUACAUAAACGUAGUUGUUUAUGUAAGUUGUUUAUAGAAGCAGUGGCAGGGUUGGAGAAGAUUGACUCCAACUUUGAAAGAAGUUCUGUUGUGGCAAAAUGCUAUCAAACAGCAUCACAUGCUAUAGAGAAAUCUUUCAUUAAAAAAAGAGUCAACUGAUGUGAGAAACUUCAUUGCAGUUUUCUUUUAAUAAAUUGCCACAGCCACCCUUACUUUCAGCAACAACAACCCUGAUCAGUCAGAAGCCACCCACAUUGAGGCAAGACCCUUCACCAGCAAAAUGAUGACUCACUGACAGCUCAGAUGAUGUGGUCUGGAACCAAACCUGCAGUGUGUGCAGUAUGCUUGCCUAGUGUUACCCCAAACUCCUGGACUGCUGAUAUACCUGCUACUGCUGCUCUUGCUGCUGCUGCAGCCACCUUAGGGAAGCCACAGCCUGUGCUUUCAUUGACAUUGCGGGGACCCUGGGACCCUGUUGCAAGAGCCAGAGACCAUAAGCACUGAGCUGCCAAAGCUGCUGCCACUACUGCCCGAGAACCCAGGAGGGUCCCCUCGCCUGCUACUGCUGCUGCCACUGAUGAUACCAGAAGGAACAAAAUGAUGCCUCUCACUUCUUCCCUGUUUCCAGACUCCUGCCAGUGCCUGACAUUGGCAGAAGCUUACUGGAAGCCGGCUGGUGCAGGAAUUGACCUGGGAAAUGUUUGCAGGCUCCAGCAACCACAUGGGAGCACAGAUAGCCAGAGUAUUCUGGACAAAUGGUG
rnacentral:lncRNA from 13 species